rnacentral:rRNA from 1 species
ACUCCUACGGGAGGCAGCAGUAGGGAAUCUUCCACAAUGGGCGCAAGCCUGAUGGAGCAACACCGCGUGAGUGAAGAAGGGUUUCGGCUCGUAAAGCUCUGUUGUUAAAGAAGAACACGUAUGAGAGUAACUGUUCAUACGUUGACGGUAUUUAACCAGAAAGUCACGGCUAACUACGUGCCAGCAGCCGCGGUAAUACGUAGGUGGCAAGCGUUAUCCGGAUUUAUUGGGCGUAAAGAGAGUGCAGGCGGUUUUCUAAGUCUGAUGUGAAAGCCUUCGGCUUAACCGGAGAAGUGCAUCGGAAACUGGAUAACUUGAGUGCAGAAGAGGUAGUGGAACUCCAUGUGUAGCGGUGGAAUGCGUAGAUAUAUGGAAGAACACCAGUGGCGAAGGCGGCUACCUGGUCUGCAACUGACGCUGGGACUCGAAAGCAUGGGUAGCGAACAGGAUUAGAUACCCCUGGUA